rnacentral:lncRNA from 1 species
GAACAAAAGGGUUCAGCUAUUUAUUUUUAAGGCAAAGACUGGGAACUUGGAGUGUGUGGCUGGCCUCAUCCUGGGUAAGUAAAGGGGUCAUCCAAGAGGCUUAUCAAGUGAUGUGGGGAAAGGUGGUUCUUUGUAAUAAGCCAUUUCCUGGAACACAGAAGGGUGUGUGAUUUCUGAGCCUCCUGCUGUUUUCCAGACACACAGGGUUCAGGUAAAGUUCCCUAUUAUCAUUGGACAAAGAAGGAACAGGAUUUUCCAUGGUAUAUCAUUUUUUACAUUUUGAAUUUUAUCUGUCCAAAAACAAAAAGUUGAACAAACCCCAAAUUUUAAAGUAAAUAAAUUUUAAAUAAAUAAAUGGAUAACCAUAAAUUCCAGAAAGCUCUUUUCUUACUGCAGAUUAGAGAUUUUUUCCAAAAUGGAUUUAGAUAUGGAAAGAUUUGAGCUAUAUUUGUUGAAACUUUGGUGAACGUGCUGAAAGGUAAGAGACUUUUCCAGUGUUUGAUAAGUUGGUCUGAGUUUCAGCCUUAGAGAUAUCAGGGAAGCCAUAAGAGUAAAGCCAGCAUUCCACACUGAGAAACAGCCCUGAUCUUUCCCUGGGUUUAAUUUCAUAGGCAGGCAUUGUAUCCAUUCUCAUGAAUGUGCUCAAUUUUCUAAUCUCCACUUCCUAUUCAGACUAGAAGAAUAAACCAUGAAACAGGAGACAAAGUGCAGCUCAAAUAUAUGCAAAUAGAGUAUCCUCUCCCUCUGCUCAAAGGGAUUUUGCUGAAGCAGGGCAACUCUGUCACACUAGUCCCUUGGGGUAAACAGGAGAUUUAGCAGAGUUGGAGAAUCUUUUCUCACGACUGGGGUCUGCUAUUUUUCUCAUAUAUUUUUGGCUUCAGCCAGAAGUCUACUUUUCCCAUUCCUUCAUCAGCUUGCCACUGCUCUAUCAGAUUUUGGCCAUGGCCUUUUGUUAUAUAGGUGCUUAGGCCACAUUUAUACACCAAAAGAUGCAGGCUUUAUCAGAACCUAUGUUGUGUAGAGAAUUUGUUCACUUGAUUUGCCUCUUUCUGAGUACCUGAAACUGGAUUUUUUUUUUAAUUUUUUAUUGUUGGCUGUUCAAAACAUUACAUAGUUCUUGAUAUAUCAUAUUUCACAAUUUGAUUCAAGUGGGUUAUGAGCUCCCAUUUUUACCCCAUAUACNAAUGUCUGAAACUGGAUUUUAAUCAUCAAAGUUCACCAGUUGACUUUUCUUAACAACAAUUGAAGGAGUUGCUUUUCUUUUCUUUUUUCCAUCUUAUUUAUUUAUUUAUAUAUGACAGUGGAAUACAUUACAAUUCUUAUUACACAUAUAGAGCACAAUUUUUUUAUAACUCUGGUUGUAUGCACAGUAUAUUCACACCAAUUCAUGUCUUCAUACCUGUACUUUGGAUAAUAAUGUCCAUCAUAUUCCACCAUCAUUUAUAACCCCCUGCCCCCUCCCUUCUCCUCCCCCUCUCUGCCCUAUCUAGAGUUCGUCUAUUCCUUCCAUGCACUGCUCCAUACCCCACUGUGAAUCAGCCUCCUUAUAUCAAAGAAAAUAUACACAAUGGAAUAUUACUCAGCAAUAAAAGAGAAUAAAAUCAUGGCAUUUGCAGGUAAAUGGAUGGAGUUAGACAAGAUAAUGCUAAGUGAAGUUAGCCAAUCCCAAAAAACCAAAGGAGUUGCUUUUCUAACAAUACAGUGACAACCGAAAAGUUAGUUCAAAAUGAUUAAAUCCACCCUCAUGAGAUGAAUGCUCACAGCUUUCUAAAUAGUUAACUUAAGCAAAUAGAGAUUAAGCAAGACAAGACUGGGGCUGGGGGUGUGGCUCAGUGGCAGUGUUUGCCUACUGUGUGCUAGGCCCUGUGUUCAAUCCCCAGGACUGGCAAAAAAAAAAAAAAAGACAAGGCUGGAGAUGGUUGUGCAUCUUCCAACUUCAAGUAGAAAUGGGAGAUUCUUUUUCUUGUUAUUUUAGAUAUAUGUGACAGUAGAGUGAAUUUUGACAUAUUAUACGUACAUGGAGUAUAUUUUAAGAUCUACUUAGGAUCCCAUUCUUGAAUGAAUAAAGAAAACCUGGAAAUGGGUGAUUCUUAAGCAGGAGGGCCUAAGAGAAACACAUAUCUUGGCAUACAAUGACCAUUAGAAUUUUCUUUGCAGAUCUCUAAUUGUAGGGAGCAUGAGUAAUCAAGGGAGAGCCCUAGCAUCUGAAAUCCAUCACAGAGCUUUUGCCAAGGCCAUGAUGAUGAUAGUAGGCUAGGAGCUUCAGGAGGCCAUUGCUGGGACACACAACUCUCCUCUAAGGGUGAACUCUGACUAUAAGACUUUCGGGCAGCUUUGCCAAAAUUUCCUUAGUCAGCAUAGCAGUCUGGGAUUCCUUACCAGCUGUACCCAGUUGUUUCCCCUAUUUUCUCCCAUAGCAUUCUUGUAGUAUAAUCCUUAUACCUAACACUAUCUUGGAGAAUGCAUGAUGGAAGACAUUAGGCUAAUCCAUGGCCCUAUCCAGGUCUUGCCUCUGUUGCUGGCCUGAUUGUGGAUCUUGGGUCCUUCUUGUCUCAUAUCCCAUACUAUUUUACAUCUUAUGCCAGCCUUAUUGGUAAAUUUCUUAUAGCCAGCUGCUUUAGCUGUCCCAAUUAUAAAUACAUCUUAGGCUUUUCUCUGUGAUUUAUGUUCAUAGAGUUCACGGUCCUUGUUGAUUUUAUUUUUAGGAUAUAAAUUCUGCUAGCCAUAAUUGUUACAGCACAGAUUUAAGAAAUUCCAGAAAGUUCCAUCCUUUAUUCUUUGGUACAAUGUGGAAAAAUGCUGGCUUCCAUACCUCUGCCAUACCUUUUUCAUGCACAAAAUAUCUUUUAUUCUGAAUUACAGAAAAUCAAAACUCUAAACAAGUACUAUUUUUUUCUUUUUUUAAUUUUUUUAUUCUAAUUUGUUAUAUAUGACAGCAGAAUGCAUUAUAUUUUAUAAUACACAUAUAGAGCACAAUUUUUUAUAUCUUUGGUUGUACACAAAGUAGAGUCACACCAUUUGUGUACAUGUACUUUGGAUAAUAAUGUCUGUCUCAUUCCACCAUCAUUUAUAACCCCAUGCUCCAUCCUUUCCCCUCCCACCCUUUUGCCCCAUCUAGAGUUCAUCUAAUCCUCCUGUGCUCCCCCUCCCUACCCGACUGUGAAUCAGCCUCCUUAUAUCAGAGAAAACAUUGAGCAUUUGGUUUUUUGGGGUUGGCUAACUUCACUUAGCAUUAUAUUCUCCAACUCCAUCCAUUUACCUGCAAAUGUCACGAUUUUAUUCUCUUUUAUUGCUGAGUAAUAUUCCAUUGUGUGUAUAUACCACUUUUUUUAUCCAUUCAUCUACUGAAGGGCAUCUAGGGUAGUUCCACAGUUUAGCUAUUAUGAAUUGUGCUGCUACAAACAUUGAUGUGGCUGUGUGUUGGGUGUGUGGGAAACCUUGCCUUUUGGUUUUAUUUCCCCCAUCGGGUUUCUCCCCACUGAAGUUAAGUUUCUGUCUCUCGAGAAGAACAUCACGUAAUCCCUUACCCCUCCCCCUUCUCUCCAAAGGGCACCAAGCCGAAGGAGCCAAAGUCAAAAGUUUUCUCGACCAAUCCCUGUGGGACACAAUGAUCAUUCGCCCAUUCCUGAAUCACUCUGCCAAUCAGCACCCACCACGUUGCCAAAGCAACCCUUCUUAAGCUGAAGCUUGCAGGCUCAUGCUGCUGCUGCUCUCUUCCUCUCUUUUCUUCAUCUUCAGGCAGCCCCUCCAAUAAAAUCUCUUGGUUGAAUUUCCGUCUCAGGUGAGUCACUCGCCUUUCACUGUGUCCCUAUAGUAUACUGUUUUUAAGUCCUUUGGGUAUAGACUGAGGAGAGGGAUAGCUGGGUCAAAUGGUGG